CGGGUGAGUAACACGUGGAUAACCUACCUAUAAGACUGGGAUAACUUCGGGAAACCGGAGCUAAUACCGGAUAAUAUAUUGAACCGCAUGGUUCAAUAGUGAAAGACGGUUUUGCUGUCACUUAUAGAUGGAUCCGCGCUGCAUUAGCUAGUUGGUAAGGUAACGGCUUACCAAGGCAACGAUGCGUAGCCGACCUGAGAGGGUGAUCGGCCACACUGGAACUGAGACACGGUCCAGACUCCUACGGGAGGCAGCAGG
rnacentral:rRNA from 1 species